UGUACCGCACAGAACAAUAAAUUAAUAAGCACACUAACAUCCGAUCCUCACAAAAAUUCAAGAUUCUAAUAAUCUCUGCAGAAAUAAUCAAAAUUUAUUUAAGGUGUCUUCUUAGGGACACAGAGUGAGACUGUCUUGUCCUUGAGUCCCGGGAUGCAUGGACAUUACUGUCAAUCACCUGAGAAAGUGGUGAUUCUUAGGACCAGGAAUCCGGAAAAAAUAAUUCCAGGAGCCGGUGUUGUGAAUGAAGGUAUGACAUUUCAGUUUCCUUCACUGGAAUCCAGUGACCAGCAGUAAUGAAUUACUACCCACUUGGCUUUACUAAGAGGGACUCUGGCCGGGUAAGUUGUUUGUCUUUGCUUUGGGAACACUGCUCACCGCCUUACAGCCUCUUGUGAGAUGGUGGCCUUGGGUCCUUUUUUGUCCACUUCUGGGAACCAUCCCAGAGAUUACCUGCAGCUUCUGGAACUCUACUUAUUUAUGGCAUUAUUUUUCUUUUACUCCUGAGGAGAAUUUAUGGCUUCUGUUUCAGGCUUUCCGAUAAGAAAUGUAUACUUUCUGGAGAGCAUGAAUAUCCAUUUCAUCAAAACAUGUUUUCGAGUAGCAUGAGAGCUUUCUUUGAACCCUGUGUACCCUCUAUCUUCAGUGCGGCUUGGUAGAUAUUCAUAAUAAGAGCUGCCUUCUCUGUGAUCUUGAACAAUCUGGGCAUCACCGAGGUCGCCUAAUCAUGUUCAUGGGAAACAAGAGAAACAAAGACUUCUAAUAUUUAGACAUUGCCUUGUGGAAUCUCAUCUGAAGGAAAACUGGUGCAAAAAAUGAUUUCAUCAUGGAUUUUCUUCUUUGUGUCCUGAGAAGAAAUUGGGGACAGUCGCAGACUUUGAGCAUAUAUAGUUUGGACUAUGCCAACUAAUGUAUCUUUGGAAACUUCCAGAAGAUUGCCUGUUUGAAAUUUCAUCUGACUGUUGGACUUUGUUUUGACAUAUCCUCCCUACGAUGUAAGAGGUAUAACAUAUCGUGUGUAAGUGUCACAGGCAGUGACAUUUAGCAGGAUGAAGAGAAACUCGAGAGACACCGUCACAUUGCUUAGGGAGGUUGCAUAAGCUGUCCCCGGAAGUUUUUCACAGUAUGGUCGACUACUUUCAGUCUGGCUUGUUUAGGUAUUCAUAAAUCUUCUCCCUGUCUGGAAGUGUGGGUAUUGAUUUAGUGCCUUCUCAUUUAGAUACAUCAGAAUGAAAUUGUUGGUCACGUUCUGUGGUGAAAUAUAUAACUUUUAGUAGUGUGAAAUUUUGCAUUUAAAAUUAUUUAUUUCUGAUUGUAUUAGAAAUUGACCAGUUCUUCGGAAAAUAGUAGAAAUAGCUCUAUUGAGGUUUUCUUCCUUUAGGAUAUUCCAUUAGCCUGGCCCUGACUUGGCCAACCAAUAUAGUUGGCAGUCUUCAUUCAGCUCCUCCUGAUGGCCAUAUGUCCACAUUUGAGAAUUCCUUACCAUUUGACAUUGUCGUUUGACUCCCACUGACCCUUUCCAAGCCAAGAGACUCCAACUGAGAAACUGUAGAUGGAAAUGGUCAAUUUUUUUAAAUUAAAAAGGGAUAGAUAAAAUUAAGACCAUCUAAAGAAGAGUCCAUGACAGCAGCCAAAAGGAAAAGUAGGGCCUGAGCCAUCACACAUUACAGGAUGGAAAGCAGCCCAUGUGCGGUUCUGGGAUGGUGGCUAAAGUAGUCUUUCGGGGAGGAAGAGGGCCAGGCAUGAGGUCUUGGCACUUUGUUCCUUCUGUGGAGUGUGCCAGGGCCAGGUUUUGGUGGUCCUCAGUCUAAUUUAAGAACCCAGAGAGAAUGAACUGUGUCUGGAGCCUUAAAUCAGUUGUCUUUGUUGUUUUGGCUGUGCUCUGUAUCAGUGGAAUCAUUUUUGGCUUCUUAUCUUGGCUCAUUCCCAGAAUGGACUUAACACAAUAGUUAGCCAAUUCUACAGAUUCCAGUUACUUUAAUAGUCUUUAUAAUUACCUCAGAGGGAAAUCACCAGCUAUGAAUAUUUAAUGCGUCUAUGAAGCACUUAAAUCCUAAUUAUUGUCAUACAUGUUUAAGGAUGGCUGCCAUUAAUGUUUUCUAGUGCCGACAUUUUUUCCUCAGUAAUACAGCAGUUCUGUAAGGUGCAGUAUAACUUUUCAGACAGCAAGAGUUUCUUAGCCUUCAACAACCAGGUACAGAACAGGCUGUAAGCAAAGAAGGAAACUGAAAUUAGAGUUUGUUCCUCAUUUUCAACUCAUUGUUACUCAGGCUAAAUAAAUGGUAAAUUAUGAAUCUGUAUUUACCAUAAGAACUUGUCAUCAGCAUUUUCUAAGAUAGAAUGCAAUUUUUCUAAAGCGAGAUCUAUCCUAGACUGUAUCCAGGGGCUGCAUUGCUGGUCCAACCAACAUCUACCUGGUUCUUAUGAUGGAUUUUGCAAAGUACAGGGGAUAUAAAUGAAGUUUAAAAUGUAGCCUAUAUAAUAUUUUAGGCAGAGAAGCCAAGGCUAACCUAAAUGAAAUAGUUGGAACAGAACACAAUUUAAAGCUCAAUUGUAGAACUCUUGGAUGGUACAGGAGGAAGAAAUCGCUGUAGCCUGAAAUAGUUCAUUCUUUCUUCCAAGGAAGCUUUGUGGGAGAGGCAGAAUGUGAAGGAUGAGUGGACUAUAACUGGACAGAAAAGAAGAGGGACAGAAGCGUUUUUUGGAGGCUCUUGACUCUUUGAUAGUAACUUCAUAUACCUAAUCUCAUUGAUCCAGCAGGGUGGACAUCUGUAUCCCUGUUUAUACAGGAGAGUAUGAAGGACGGGGCAGGGGGAGUAACUGACUCAGGCUUAUAUAGCUAGCGAGCUGCUGAUCAGCGAUGGUUAAGACCAGGGGCUCUGAGUUCAGGCAGUUUGGGAUUUGAAUCUCAGCUCCUCUGCUGACUGGCUGUGCUGAAUUUCUUCGUGCUUCAGUUUUUUCACCUACAAACUAGGGGGAAGUAAGAAGAGCUGCCUCUUAGGUUUAAUGUGAUGAACAAACUAUUUAACAAGAUGAAGAAUUUAGCCAUUUCUGAGGUACUGUAACCAAUCAAUAAAUGUUUAAAUGUGUGUGUGUGUGUGUGUGUGUGUGUGUGGAGAGAGAGAGAGAGAGAGAGAGUUUGAG